UACGUAGGGUCCGAGCGUUGUCCGGAAUUACUGGGCGUAAAGAGCUCGUAGGUGGUUUGUCGCGUUGUUCGUGAAAACUCACAGCUCAACUGUGGGCGUGCGGGCGAUACGGGCAGACUUGAGUACUGCAGGGGAGACUGGAAGUUCCUGGUGUAGCGGUGGAAUGCGCAGAGUAUCAGGAGGAACACCGGUGGCGAAGGCGGGUCUCUGGGCAGUGAACUGACGCUGGAGGAGCGAAAGCGUGGGGAGCGAACAGG
rnacentral:rRNA from 1 species